GAUUAUGGCUCAGGAUGAACGCUAGCUACAGGCUUAACACAUGCAAGUCGAGGGGCAGCAUGAGCUUAGCUUGCUAAGCUUGAUGGCGACCGGCGCACGGGUGAGUAACGCGUAUCCAACCUUCCCCUUAGUAGGGCAUAGCCCGAUGAAAAUCGGAUUAAUACCCUAUGUUCUUCACAGCGGACAUCUAACGUGAAGCAAAGGUUCACCGCUAAGGGAUGGGGAUGCGUCUGAUUAGGUAGUCGGCGGGGUAACGGCCCACCGAGCCAUCGAUCAGUAGGGGUUCUGAGAGGAAGGUCCCCCACAUUGGAACUGAGACACGGUCCAAACUCCUACGGGAGGCAGCAGUGAGGAAUAUUGGUCAAUGGGCGCGAGCCUGAACCAGCCAAGUAGCGUGCAAGGAUGACGGCCCUAUGGGUUGUAAACUGCUUUUAUGCGGGGAUAAAGUCGCCCACGUGUGGGUGUUUGCAGGUACCGCAUGAAUAAGGACCGGCUAAUUCCGUGCCAGCCGCAGC
rnacentral:rRNA from 1 species